rnacentral:misc_RNA from 1 species
GAUGAAGAACGCAGCAAAAUGCGAUAAGUAAUGUGAAUUGCAGAAUUCAGUGAAUCAUCGAAUCUUUGAACGCACAUUGCGCCCGCUGGUAUUCCGGCGGGCAUGCCUGUUCGAGCGUCAUUUCAACCCUCAAGCCCCCGGGUUUGGUGUUGGGGAUCGGCUCUGCCCUUCUGGGCGGUGCCGCCCCCGAAAUACAUUGGCGGUCUCGCUGCAGCCUCCAUUGCGUAGUAGCUAACACCUCGCAACUGGAACGCGGCGCAGCCAUGCCGUAAAACCCCAACUUCUGAAUGUUGACCUCGGAUCAGGUAGGAAUACCCGCUGAACUUAAGCAUAUCAAUAAGCGGAGGA